rnacentral:rRNA from 1 species
AGAAUCAACGCUGGCGGCGUGCCUAACACAUGCAAGUCGAACGAGAAAGUGGAGCAAUCCAUGAGUAAAGUGGCGCACGGGUGAGUAACACGUGACUAACCUACCCUUGAGUGGGGGAUAACCUAGGGAAACCUGGGCUAAUACCGCAUAAUACCUUCGGGUCAAAGGAGCAAUUCGCUUAAGGAGGGGGUCGCGGCCGAUUAGUUAGUUGGCGGGGUAAUGGCCCACCAAGACGAUGAUCGGUAUCCGGCCUGAGAGGGCGCACGGACACACUGGAACUGACACACGGUCCAGACUCCUACGGGAGGCAGCAGUGGGAAUUUGCGCAAUGGGGGAAACCCUGACGCAGCAACGCCGCGUGGAGGAUGAAGCCCCGUUGGGGCGUAAACUCCUUUCGAUCGGGACGAUUAUGACGGUACCGGAAGAAGAAGCCCGGCUAACUUCGUGCCAGCAGCCGC